rnacentral:ncRNA from 1 species
CGGUGCCCGCGCCUGUUGCGCGGGUUAAAAGGGAAACAGGUGCAAAUCCUGUGCGAUCCCGUCACUGUAUGUACGGAGUGUGAUGAUCGUUUCGCCUUUUUGGCGAAGUCACUGGGAAAACCCGGGAAGGCAGAUCAUUAUGCGUGGAUGUAUGAGCCAGGAGACCUGCCGUUUAUC